CGCGAGGGCCUGCCCGUGACACGCGCAGUGACGCGCGCCUCGGCGCAAUUUUCGCGAGCGGUGCGAAGUUAUACACGCUGACACAGGAUGCUGAAUAAUAUAAGGGAAAAAUUGCAUGCAACUCUGCCAGCGUAUUUUUAGAAGGAAACUUUUUUAUAAUGAACUUCUCGUUUAAUUAAAGUCAAGAAUUCUUCCUUAGCAUGGCGAGGAGCAGCAGCAAGACUUUGUGGAUGAGCCCAUAAUGCCAUAUAAUAUGGCUGAAUUUCUCUAUUCUUUCAGGAAAUCAAGAGAAAAGGAAAAGAAAGAAACCUCACAGAAGAGCUCAGCACCCUGGAAAUUCUUAUCCUUCAAUGUUAAAUCUGAGCAGCUUGGCUACCUACAACGACCCCCCACCUAUAAUGUGCUGGUCAACAUCUGGCAGUCGCAGCAGCACCCUGUACCAAAGCAUCCACACGGCGACCUGGGCUCCAUUACCUGUGCCAACCCAGCACACCACCAGGACCUGGGUGGGUUCUGCCAAUGGCCUGAUGGGUAAGCUGGAGCUUUCACAUGCAAAGCAGAUGGGGAAAUUACAACACAAAGAACAGAGAUGGAAAA